UACGAAGGGGGCUAGCGUUGCUCGGAAUCACUGGGCGUAAAGGGUGCGUAGGCGGGUCUUUUAAGUCAGGGGUGAAAUCCUGGAGCCUCAACUCCAGAACGUGCCUUUGAUACUGAGGAUCUUGAGUUCGGGAGAGGUGAGUGGAACUGCGAGUGUAGAGGUGAAAUUCGUAGAUAUUCGCAAGAACACCAGUGGCGAAGGCGGCUCACUGGCCCGAUA
rnacentral:rRNA from 1 species